rnacentral:misc_RNA from 1 species
GAUGAAGAACGCAGCGAAAUGCGAUAAGUAAUGUGAAUUGCAGAAUUCAGUGAAUCAUCGAAUCUUUGAACGCACAUUGCGCCCUCUGGUAUUCCGGGGGGCAUGCCUGUUCGAGCGUCAUUAUAACCACUCAAGCUCUCGCUUGGUAUUGGGGUUCGCGGUUUCGCGGCCCCUAAAAUCAGUGGCGGUGCCUGUCGGCUCUACGCGUAGUAAUACUCCUCGCGAUUGAGUCCGGUAGGUCUACUUGCCAGCAACCCCUAAUUUUUUUUAAGGUUGACCUCGGAUCAGGUAGGGAUACCCGCUGAACUUAAGCAUAUCAAUAACGGAGGA